rnacentral:lncRNA from 1 species
AAGAUAUUAGCUGAAAUACCCAACAGAGAAGAGAUAGAACCUGAAGAGACCACCUCCAGUAGAUGGGCAUAGCCUCUAGUUGAUGGAUGGGCCCACCCACCCAUCUCAAAAAUUUUAACCUGGAAUUGUUUCUGUCUAGAGGAAAUGCAGGGACAAAAAAUGGAGCAGAGACUGAAGGAAAGGCCAUCCAGAAUCCACCCCACCUUGGGAUCAACCUCAUCUGCAGACACCAAACUGAGUCACUAUUGCUGAUGCCAAAAAGUGCUCUAAGACAGGCAUUCUGUAAUGUAUAGCAUGACUGUCCUCUGGGAAGCUCUACCUAGCAGCUGACUGAAAGAGAUGCAGAGACCCACGGCCAAACAGUGAAUGGAGCUUGGGGACUCUUAUGGAAGGGUUGGGGGAACAAUUGAGGGCCCCGAAUGGGAUAGGAACUCUACGAACCACUAACCAAAGAACAUACUCAUUGAACCUAGGCCUCCCCACACAUAUGUAGCAGAUGUGCAGCUCAGUGUUCUUGUGGGUUCCCCAGAAAUUGGAGCGGGGGCUGUCUCUAAAGCUGUUGUCUAUUUGUGGAAUACAUUCCCCUAACUGAGCUGCCUUGUAUGGCUUCAGUGGGAAAGGUUACACCUAGCCCUGCAGAGACUUGAUGUGCCAGGGUUGGGGGAUACCCAGGGAGUCCUCUACCAUCUCAAAGGAGAAGGUGAGGGGGAUGGGAGAAGGGAUUGUGUGAGGGGUAGAUGGUGGUGGUUGGGCAAUGACCAGGAUGUAAAGUGAAUAAAUAAAUAAGUUAAUGAAGAAAAAAAAAAAAGAAUCGUCUAUUCUUGUUUUACUAUCGGUCUCGAUCUUCUCAGCCAG